ACUUGGGCUUCAAAAGCAAAAGUACGAUUAUGUAUUAACUCACUCUGUAUAAAGUAUUUAGCUGCUUAAGAGAUGGGUCUAAUAUAUAGCAUGGUCAGGGUUUUUUUAAUGUAUUGGCUAUUCAAAGAACACUUUCCACAUCGCUUUACUAUUUAGGAAUUCCUGUUUAACUCCUACAGACAUUCAUCAGAUUUAAAAAUAUCUGCAGCAUACGUAAAAAUGUACAGGACAGUGUUGGACCUUUUAGUUACCCAUAUAUCAGUCUUCUCAAAUCUGGACAUGGUCUAUACCAGGGGUGUCAAACUCCCGGCCCAUGGGCCGGACGCAUCACCGGGAAACCAUGCCCAUCCCUUUGCCGGCAAUGGGGGAAAAGCUCCGAUGCAUUGCGCAACGUCACGUGAUGUCGCGAGUUUGACAUGUGCGGUCUAGACUCUAGAGAACUCCCAAACUUAUCCAACCAAUAUGGUUACUGCUGAGAAUUCUGAGACUUGAAUACUGUAUAUCUGAAGGAUGCCCAGUUUAGGAAAAACUACCAAACCCUAAAAAUUAUUCCCUAGAACACAUCCAUAAUUUCUGUGCAUUAGUGCAGUUUUUGGAACAGGUUUUUAAACCGUGGGGAAAAAAAUCGUUGAUCUUUUGAGACUCUCAUCACAUAGUGUUAUACAGUAAGUACAGUUACAAGUAAUACAGCAAAGAAAAUUGGAAACCCGUUCUUUUAGAGCAGUUGUGCAGGUUUGGGGAUUUUUUUCUUUCUUUCCUUUUUCAUCCUCCUUCAAAGGUGAGCUUCGUGAGGUCAUAAUCUCAUUUGACAUCAGAAUCCCCUGAACUCCUGCAUAGCAGGAUUCAUCAGAAAGAGACAUAGAGCUGCCAGAGGGAAGUCUGUAUUUAAACACAGCUCCCUUGGAUUGUUGCAAAUGGAGAGAGGAACAUGAUGAAAUUUCUAAGGCUUAAGCUCAAAGGCACAACCAUGAAAGAUCCAAGUCGUAGGAGUACUAGUCCAAGCAUUAUCAGUGAAGACAUGAUCAUGAAUGGUCACUCUCAUGAAGAUGAUAAUCCAUUUGCAGAAUAUAUGUGGAUGGAAAAUGAAGAGGAAUUCAACAGGCAGAUUGAAGAGGAAUUGUGGGAAGAAGAAUUUAUAGAACGUUGCUUCCAAGAAAUGCUGGAAGAGGAAGAGCACGAAUGGUUUAUUCCAGCAAGAGAUCUUCCGCAAACGAUGGAUCAAAUUCAAGACCAGUUUAACGAUCUUGUUAUCGGUGACAGUUCGUCACUGGAAGAUCUGGUGUUUGAAGAAUUAACCUCAAGGGAAUAAUAAGGACAUGGAGAAUUCAUUUCCAUUGUUCAUCUGUCAGUUUCCUUGAGGUUUUUCAGGAAGCUCAGAUCCUGUUGUAGGUCUGCAGGGUUACAAAUAGUUCUAAAGAUCACAUGAACUCUCCUAUAUUAUAGUAGAUACAAUAUCAUAGUCUGAUGAUGUUCUCAUUUGGUAGGUAUUCUUAAAAUUCUAUUGUUUUGGUUGUAAUUAAAAAGCUUAGAAUUUUAUUUAUAAGAUGAACUACUUUUUUUAGCUAUAAUUUCAGCCUGUUAUCACUAACAGGAAUAUUGUUUUGAAAAAACUUGAUAAAUUCUAAACCUAGCUCAUUGCAGACUUGGGAACAAUUUAUUGCACUUUAGAUUUUUGCAUUGAUACGUUGAAAGAUUAACCUCCCUCUCUGUGAAUUGUUACCUUGGCUAGAUUUGCCAGUUGAACAUUUAAUGUGGAUGGGCAAUUUUGUUAUGUGGAUAUCAAAUGUAUUGAACUGAUCUAGUUGCUUUCAUUAUAAGUAAAUUACUGUCUUUUUAGUAUUCUGACUGAAAGUAAAGUUAUUUUGUGAUUGCCUGUACCUGCCUAUUAAGCUUGUUCACCCUGCUCUGAAUUUACAAGUUGGGUUGUAUCAAAUAAAGCACAAAACUAUUUCUUAAAAGUAGGAUUUGUAUAUUGUAAGAAAAAUAUAUGAGGGUCCCUGGUGUAUCAUGGUCUGUAUUAUAGUACACAUGAAUCCAGACAUGUGGAUAGGAAGAUAAUAGAUUUAAAAUCUUAGGACUUUCAUAAGAUUGAUUUUGCAUAUUCUGGGUGAGAAUGUCAAAAUCUUGCAAAAUUUCAAAUGACAUUACCAAAUAUUGAGAGGUAUAACAGCCUUCUAAAAUUGUAAUACUUUGAUUUAUUUAUAUUGGAUACCUGCACGUUAGAUAAGCUACUAGAGUACCUUUGUGGAGCAUAAUCAUCGCUGGCCUACAGAUUGAGAACUCGUAGCCUGGUGUUCUUUUAAGUCUAAAUUGGGACUCCAUCUUACGGCAGGAAAUUCCAUAGUUUAUAUAUGCAUUGUGUGAAAUAUUUUGCAUGACCUCAACUUCCAGUAUUGUAAAUAAAACGAAGAAUGGGAUCUGUAUUUUCUGCAUCAUGCAUGAUGUUAUACAACUUUCCUUAUUUACUUUCAGCCCAAGUUAAAAAGCCCUAAAGUAGUCCUUUCUUAUAAGAAACCUAUCUGAGCCCCUCUUAUACUUAUGGUUGCUCUUUUAUGUAUUGAUUAUUUUGCACCUUUUCAAGUGUAUUCCAGUCCUGCCAUUACUGUACUGAAUUUUUUUACAUUUUCUAUUCUUAAAUCUGAACACGAGAUUUGUCAUUUUUAACAAGAAAUGCUCUCUGAGUUGUUCCUUUUUGUUGAGCAGUGCACCCCUGACUCCCAGCAUUCUUUUUCCGAUCACUCUUAGUAACCUCAACUCCCAUUCAUGGAGGUAACCUUUGGAAUUUUUAUACCCAUCUGCAUUACUUUGUGCUUGCUCCUACUGAUUUGCAUUUGCCAUUUUGAGGCCUACUUACUCAGUUUGGAGAGAGGACCUUUUGGAGCUCUUCCCAAUAUCUUUGCAAUCAAAAUGCACAUCUUUAUGUCAUUAGCAGACUGGAUCACCUUAGUCCUUAACUUCAGUUUAUUUAUAAACUAAUUAGAAACAAUGAUCUACCACCCCCAGUCCCUGAGAAUUUCACUUUGCACUAUUGUCUAUUUAUUCUUCUCUCUUUUUUAAUUCUUAAGAGAAUUUCCAAUCCCUAAGAACAUAAGCCUUCUUUAUCCCCCCCGCUUCCAAGUUUGCUCAAGAAUCUCUGGUAAAGGACAUUAUCAAAGGUUCAUACAGUGUCUGAUGGAUUUCCUCCUCUACAUUUUUGUUAAUACUGUCAACAAGUUUAGAAAAUUAGUUUAAGAAGAGCAAUAAUGUGAUCCUCUAGAUCAGGGAUGUCAAACUGCUGGCCCGCGGGCUGGUUUCAUCAUACUGGAGCCGCGCCCACCCCAUUGCCGGCAAUGGCGUGAUAUCGCGAGUUUGACAUGCCUGCUCUAGAUGCUGCUGCUGUAUUACCACUUUUGUUUGUCUUACAAUAGCCAGUGGAGAAUGAUGCUGAAAACUACAAUUUAACAUCAUCUGGAGAGCCACAUGUUAUAACAGGGGUGUCAAACUCCCAUUGCCGGAGCUGGGGUGGGCGCGGCUUCCACGUGACGCAUCUGGCCCGUGGGCCAGCAGUUUGACGCCCCUGUGUUAUAAUAUAUUCAGUUAUUGUUGUGAAAGUUGGUUUAGCUCUAUCGAAGGAAGAGAUUGAGAUCUUGAAUUGGGUGGUAUCAAUCAAACCAGGGGAUCCUGAUCUAUCUGGCAUGUAAGCUGACUCUAAGCUGUUUCCUUGGCAAGAGUAUCUUGCUUUCUCCACUGAGGCCUAUGUUCAGGAAUGUUUUCACUGCAAAGAAUUCCUGUUAAACUUAGUGCAAAUAUGUUCAAAAGAAAACCUUAGGUUUCACAGUCUAAGCUUUUAAAAUUUCUCUC